UACGAGUGCCCCAAGCGUUAUCCGGAAUCAUUGGGCGUAAAGGGUGUGUAGGUGGUCUAGUUAGUCUUCUGUUAAAUUCUUCGGCUUAACCGGGGUUCUGCAGGGGAAACGGCUAGACUAGAGUGUGCAAGGGGUGAAUGGAACUCAUGGAGUAGGGGUGAAAUCCGUUGAUAUCAUGGGGAACACCAAAAGCGAAGGCAAUUCACUGGUGCAUUACUGACACUGAAACACGAAAGCGUGGGUAGCGAACUGG
rnacentral:rRNA from 1 species